rnacentral:rRNA from 1 species
UGGGGAAUAUUGGACAAUGGGCGCAAGCCUGAUCCAGCCAUACCGCGUGGGUGAAGAAGGCCUUCGGGUUGUAAAGCCCUUUUGUUGGGAAAGAAAUCCAGCCGGCUAAUACCUGGUUGGGAUGACGGUACCCAAAGAAUAAGCACCGGCUAACUUCGUGCCAGCAGCCGCGGUAAUACGAAGGGUGCAAGCGUUACCGGAAUUACUGGGCGUAAAGCGUGCGUAGGUGGUCGUUUAAGUCCGUUGUGAAAGCCCUGGGCUCAACCUGGGAACUGCAGUGGAUACUGGGCGACUAGAGUGUGGUAGAGGGUAGCGGAAUUCCUGGUGUAGCAGUGAAAUGCGUAGAGAUCAGGAGGAACAUCCAUGGCGAAGGCAGCUACCUGGACCAACA